rnacentral:lncRNA from 1 species
UCAUUUGCUUUCAUGAAAAGUAUUACACUGAGAUUUUUGGUGACAAUGGCUCUCUAUGGUGUUUGUUUUGGUGCUGUUUAUAGAGUUGGUGACUCUAAUGGCUGGACUUCUAGAGGCCUUGUUGAUUACAAUGAGUGGGCUUCAACAAAAGACUUCCAUGUCAACGACACCCUCAUAUUUACUUACAACAAUCAAUUCCAUAAUGUGAUGCAAGUUACCAACCAAGAUUUCCAAUCUUGCAAUACAACCUCUGCUAUGGCAACCUACACCUCUGGCUCUGACACUGUCACCCUUAAUAGGUCCGGCCAUUUUUACUUUCUCUGUGGUACUCCUGGACAUUGCCAAGCCGGACAAAAUGUCGACAUCAACGUCACGCUGCCUAUAUCUGCAGAUGGAUCGUUUGCAAGCCCAAUCCUGGCACCUUAUGGAGCAUCGCCUUCUUCUGAAGUGGUGUUUCUAAGCAGUGCUUCUACUCUUCAUCUUUCGAAGCUUGAGUUCACCACUGUUGUGUUAUGUGUUUUGGGUUUUGUACUUUAG